ACUCCUACGGGAGGCAGCAGUGGGGAAUAUUGCACAAUGGGCGCAAGCCUGAUGCAGCCAUGCCGCGUGUGUGAAGAAGGCCUUCGGGUUGUAAAGCACUUUCAGUCGUGAGGAAGGUAAUGUAGUUAAUAGCUGCAUUAUUUGUACGUUAGCGACAGAAGAAGCACCGGCUAACUCCGUGCCAGCAGCCGCGGUAAUACGGAGGGUGCGAGCGUUAAUCGGAAUUACUGGGCGUAAAGCGCAUGCAGGUGGUUGUUAAGUCAGAUGUGAAAGCCCGGGGCUCAACCUCGGAAUAGCAUUUGAAACUGGCAGACUAGAGUACUGUAGAGGGGGUAGGAAUUUCAGGUGUAGCGGUGAAAUGCGUAGAGAUCUGAAGGAAUACCGGUGGCGAAGGCGGCCCCUGGACAGAUACUGACACUCAGAUGCGAAAGCGUGGGAGCAAACAGGAUUAGAUACCCCUGGUAGCGACUGA
rnacentral:rRNA from 1 species